rnacentral:rRNA from 6 species
AUUAACCUCAGAUCAGGCAAG